GCACAGUCCAUUAUUACUUUUGGUACGCGCUAUGCCACUCUCAAACUCGUACCGUGAGUAAUAAUGCACUGUGG
rfam:Lepisosteus oculatus linkage group LG21, whole genome shotgun sequence.